rnacentral:misc_RNA from 1 species
GAUGAAGAACGUAGUGAAAUGCGAUAAGUAAUGUGAAUUGCAGAAUUCAGUGAAUCAUCGAAUCUUUGAACGCACCUUGCGCUCCUUGGUAUUCCGAGGAGCAUGCCUGUUUGAGUGUCAUUAAAUUCUCAAUCCCUAUAACUUUGUUGUGGUUGAUUGGAUGUGGGGGCAUAUUGUGGGUGAAUUCAUUUACACUUCCACUCCCCUAAAAUAAAUUAGCUGGAAUGCCUUUGCAAAUCCAACUAUCAGUGUGAUAAACAUCAAUACUGUAGUUUUUGCACAAGGGAAUCUGCUUCAUAAACUGUCUUUUAGACAAUAAGUCACUUUGACCUCAAAUCAGGUAGGACUACCCGCUGAACUUAAGCAUAUCAAUAAGCGGAGGA